UUAAGGCGCACGAGCGAUGUUGUAAAACAGGCCCGAAUCGCGAAAAGAGAAGACAGAGCAGCUCUGCGUGACUUCCAAGAAGAAGAGGAAGGCCUAUUGUAUGGUCCAGGCAUAGCAGAUUGACGAUAAGCAGAACAGCCGCAAUCUUGGUCACCGUCAAGCACCUCUUUUACUUGAUGUCUUCCUGUCGGCCACUAUAACUGCUAUUCUAUUAUAUAUUUUGACUUCAAAAAAUUUGUAAAGCUUAUUUAAAUGUUAAUAAAGAUUAUGCAAAAAUAA